AUGGCACGGUGGCCAGUUGGGGACAGGUUGGGGACGAGCGAUGUUGUCCCCGUCGUCGACGAGCAAAUGCGAUGCCUGUGGUGGAAGAGCGGAGAUAAGAGGGAGAGGCGGAGGCGUGGUGUGGUAGCCGGGGCGAUGCGGCGGCGCUGUAACGCAUUGUACGAUAUGGUGGCCGGAUGGAUCCACAUGCAAGGGAGUGGAUGCACUUACUUGGAAUUGGCAACAGCCAGCCGGAACCGAUCUGUGUCGUGCUUCGUCUAUCACCGUCCUGCUUCUCCUCGCCGCGAAGCGGCGCUAACUAGAGCCGAGAAGACGAUCAGAUCGAAUCACAUAUGCCCCGAGAAGAAAUAA
rnacentral:rRNA from 1 species